CGCGUAGGCGGCUUGAUAAGUCGGAUGUGAAAGCCCCGGGCUUAACCUGGGAAUUGCAUUCGAUACUGUCUGGCUGGAGUGUGGUAGAGGGAAGCGGAAUUCCGGGUGUAGCGGUGAAAUGCGUAGAUAUCCGGAGGAACACCAGUGGCGAAGGCGGCUUCCUGGACCAACACUGACGCUGAGGUGCGAAAGCGUGGGGAGCAAACA
rnacentral:rRNA from 1 species